GACCUGAUGGUGUAGUGGUAACAUGCCUGCUGGAUUUGGGAAGCUUUCCAUUAGUCAGUUAAGCAGGAGGCCCCGGUUUGAACCCGGGUCAGGUCA